AUUCAGAUGAAUGGUACAUAACAAAACAAAUUGGAACUGGAGUGGAAUUCAGUUAUUGGGAUUGCUCCAAGAAAGAUGAUGAUGUCAGAGUUCUUCUGGAAGGUCUACUGCGAUAUGGUCUUUGGAAGGAUUUCCGCAGCUACAGGAAGUAGGCGAUUCAGGAAAACACGUGUCAGGAUUUCCCCUGCUAUGGAACCAAUUAAAACAUAAAAAGCAGUGACGAAGAUAGGAUGAACAG